CAAAUUUUUAGAUCAUCUAAUAUUACUCGUGGAUAUUAUAUUUUAAUUCAUAUGUUUCAUUCGUAUGAGUAGUUGCUGUUUCAUAUAAGUUUGAAUGAUUGGUUUAUAUUUUUCAUCGGUAACUGAUCACUAAAUAACAUGUUAUAGUAAACCGUUUGUAAAGCGUUAUUAUAAUAUAUAAAUAUAGUAAAUAACAUUUUUAUACUUCGAAUGACGCCAUUGCGAAAUAUUCUCCCCCUACCAUUUUACUAUAAUUUCCACAUGGAGCAACCUGUACUAACUAUAUACCUUGCAUUUAAACGAUUUGGUAUUAUUACUGACCACUAUAGAGUGUAGGUUGUUAUGGGGAUAAUUAUUAUUACUUUUUAAAGUUUUACCUAUGAUUGUUCAAC